GUUGACAGUGACAAUUGGCACCCUGUUGGCUAUUCAUACGACAGGCGACUGCCACUUGUGUUUUGAGUUUACCCUAACCUCUUUUUCGGCGGGCCGUAAUCAACGAAGCUCGCCAUCAUGGUGAACAACCGAGUGCCGUCGGUCUUUUCGAAGACAUACGUAACCCCACGUCGUCCUUUUGAGAAGGCGCGUCUUGAUCAGGAAUUAAAGAUCAUCGGUGAAUAUGGUCUGAGGAACAAGCGCGAGGUAUGGAGAGUAAAGUACACACUGGCUAGGAUCCGUAAGGCUGCCCGUGAGCUUCUAACCUUAGAAGAGAAAGAUCCCAAAAGAUUGUUUGAAGGUAACGCGCUUCUUCGUCGUUUAGUACGUAUUGGAGUGCUUGAUGAGAAGCAAAUGAAGCUUGAUUACGUCUUGGGUUUAAAAAUUGAAGAUUUCUUGGAACGCCGUCUCCAAACGCAAGUUUUCAAAGCUGGACUGGCUAAAUCUAUUCAUCAUGCUAGGAUCCUCAUUAGGCAGAGACAUAUACGGUGAUGCUGAAUGAACCCCGGGUGAAGCCGGUUUGAAAAUGUAUAUUUUUCUUAAAGACCACUUGAUUCUUUGUAUGAUAUCAAUGUCUUGAAAUGUGCUCAUUUUGAGCCUUUAUAAGUGUUCGCAAGCAAGUUGUAAACAUCCCAUCAUUCAUAGUCCGUCUGGACUCUGGUAAACACAUUGACUUCUCCCUGAAGUCACCAUUCGGAGGUGGCAGACCUGGACGUGUCAAGAGGAAGAACCUCCGCAAGGGACAAGGUGGUGGUGCUGCUAACGAUGAGGAAGAAGAUUAAACAAAUAAAUAACUAUUGUUAUUA